rnacentral:rRNA from 1 species
AUUGAACGCUGGCGGCAGGCCUAACACAUGCAAGUCGAACGAGCGGCGGACGGGUGAGUAAUGUCUGGGAAACUGCCCGAUGGAGGGGGAUAACUACUGGAAACGGUAGCUAAUACCGCAUACCAUCGGAUGUGCACAGAUGGGAUUAGCUUGUAGGUGGGGUAAAGGCUCACCUAGGCGACGCUCCCUAGCGGGUCUGAGAGGAUGACCAGCCACACUGGAACUGAGCCACGGUCCAGACCCCUACGGGAGGCAGCAGUGGGGAAUAGUGCACAAUGGGCGCAAGCGUGAUGCAGCCAUGCCGCGUGGAUUAAGAAGGCCUUCGGGUUGUAAAGUACUUUCAGCGGGGAGUCGUUACCCGCAGAAGAAGCACCGGCUAACUCCGUGCCAGCAGCCGCGGUAAUUC